rnacentral:lncRNA from 1 species
CAUUAAUCUGUUGAAUGUAGAAAAUAGCUUUUGGAAAUUUCUUAGACCAUUAUUAACCCCAGUCUCUUAAAUGGGGUUCUUAGCUUCGGAUAAGAGACGGUUCUUAGCUUUUCUUAGAUUUUAACUAAGAAAAGUUAAUAACCGUUUUUUAAAUAAGAGAUAUAAGAGUCGUCUUUUAUCCGAAAAAUGUAAAAAAAAAAGUAUCAAAUUAUGAGUUAAAAAUCCCGGUUAAAAAACGAUGUUAAUGAUGCUCUUAAUUCUUUACCAAUAAAAUAUGCAUG